rnacentral:misc_RNA from 1 species
AUGGACGAAAUUUCCACGGAUAUGCCGGACGUUGUCAAAUAUGUCAAUGCAAUCAUUUUUUGUGCUUCAAUUAUCAUGUUUUUGAUUGUGUUUCCAUUUUAUGUGUACGUGUUUAAAAUGAAUCGGAAACAGGAUCAAGAGCAGUCAAUCAUUUCUAUCAAAUGACAAGAAACGUUUUUUUCCUCUGCAUAGCUAUGAUAUUUUUUGCGUGUCUUAGUCUACUUGAAAGAUUUUCCGGACUUUUCAAGUUGCUACCUCUAAUUUUAAUGUACAUCAUUUACAUAAUCACCCAGAUUUUUUCUUUUUUGACAUUUCUCCUAUCCUUUCAAAGAUUCAUACUCUAUUUCAUCAGUUCAAGCGAACCCUAUAUAGUCCAAAUACAGAAGCAGGCACCAAAAUACAUAUGGGCUUUGUAUCUUGUGUUUAUUAUCAAAGACAUUUUUAUUUUUGUUUUCAUUUUUGUUGAUGCAAAAGAAGAGAGCAAUGGAUUCAAAACUAUUUACAUUGUAAUAUUCUUCACUUUCAAUAUUUUUUCUAUACUAUCGGCAAUAUUACAUGUCCCAAUGUACUUCUCCGUCAGAAAGUUGUCCAAUUUAGUGUCAGUCAAACGUAGUACACCUCAAAGGUUUAUACUCUGGCAGGCAAUCACUGUUUUAAUUUUUAAAUUUAUGUUCAUAGUUUUGGUUCUCACUUGUUUGUGGGGUUCACUCGAUGUAAUGAUUAUGUUGGUCUCGACGACGGGGCUUGAUAUAUUCUCAACACCAUUGAUAGUUGAAUUGUCUUAUAUUGGAUGCAACAAACGGAACAUGAAAACUUUGUUCACAGGGUUCAGUUUUAGAAAAUUUAUAAGAGUGUUAUUCGAUAUUGAAGAAAACGUUCAUGUUGAACAAAGGUUUUAA